AGUCUGGUUAGGCUUAUGCCAAGAGACGCCGGCCUUCCAAGCCGGUAAGGCGGGUUCAAAUCCCGC
rnacentral:tRNA from 1 species